rnacentral:pre_miRNA from 1 species
UCUGGGUAGAGGGGUCCCUCGGCCCAGAUUGCGAGAGAGCUCAGGCCAGGCCGAGGGAUCCCACCGUCGCACG